CCUACGGGUGGCAGCAGUGAGGAAUAUUGGUCAAUGGACGAGAGUCUGAACCAGCCAAGUAGCGUGAAGGAUGACUGCCCUAUGGGUUGUAAACUUCUUUUAUAUGGGAAUAAAACGUUCCACGUGUGGGAUUUUGUAUGUACCCUAUGAAUAAGAAUCGGCUAACUCCGUGCCAGCAGCCGCGGUAAUACGGAGGAUCCGCGCGUUAUCCGUUUUUAUUGGGUUUAAAGGGAGCGUAGGUGGAUUGUUAAGUCCGUUGUGAAAGUCUGCGGCUCAACCGUAAAAUUGCAGGUGAAACUGGCAGGCUUGAGUACAGUAGGGGUGGGCGGAAUUCGUGGUGUAGCGGUGAAAUGCUUAGAUAUCACGAAGAACUCCGAUUGCGAAGGCAGUUCACUGGACUGCAACUGACACUGAGGCUCGAAAGUGUGGGUAUCAAACAGGAUUAGAUACCCGUGUAGUC
rnacentral:rRNA from 1 species